rnacentral:tRNA from 1 species
AGAAACUUAGGUUAAAUACUAAACCAAGGGCCUUCAAAGCCCGAAACAGAGGACAACCCCCCCCUAGAUUCUG